UAUAUCUACUACAGUGUAGCUUGUGGCACUGUUUGUUGAACGGCACUUGCUUUUAGCGAUUCCCGUUCUAGAUCAGAAUAUAUUGCAACAUGUACGUUAGCUGGCUAGUUUGCUAACGUGCACUGAAUGACAGCAAACUCGUUGUUGCUGCUGAAUCGUUUACCGACUAUAAAACGUUUUGGCAGUGGCUAGUAUGACAACGGUGUUUCUGUUAUUUGCAA
rnacentral:misc_RNA from 1 species